GACGAACGCUGGCGGCGUGCUUAACACAUGCAAGUCGAACGAUGAAGCCUAGCUUGCUAGGUGGAUUAGUGGCGAACGGGUGAGUAAUACGUGAGUGACCUACCUUUGACUCUGGGAUAAGCCUGGGAAACUGGGUCUAAUACCGGAUACGACCAAUCUCCGCAUGGGGUGUUGGUGGAAAGCGUUAUGGAGUGGUUUUAGAUGGGCUCACGGCCUAUCAGCUUGUUGGUGAGGUAAUGGCUUACCAAGGCGACGACGGGUAGCCGGCCUGAGAGGGUGACCGGCCACACUGGGACUGAGACACGGCCCGGACUCCUACGGGAGGCAGCAGUGGGGAAUAUUGCACAAUGGGCGCAAGCCUGAUGCAGCGACGCCGCGUGAGGGAUGACGGCCUUCGGGUUGUAAACCUCUGUUAGCAUCGAAGAAGCGAA
rnacentral:rRNA from 1 species